rnacentral:tRNA from 1 species
AGCCUUGUGGUUAAGGCUAUGGAUCGCCAAUCCAGAGACGGCGGGUUCGAUUCCCGU